rnacentral:tRNA from 1 species
CCCCUCGUGGCGAAACAGGCAGACGCGCUGGAUUUAGGUUCCAGUACUCAUCACGGGUAUGUGGGUUCGAAUCCCACCGAGGGGA